rnacentral:lncRNA from 1 species
GGGACAACACCUCCUUCAGAGUAGCCGCUGCGUUGGGUUUCAGGCAGCCCAGCUGCGUUCUGCGUGACCGAAUCGGACACCUCUCACUUCCUCUGUGAACGGAACUCGGUGUUUGGAUGAUGUGCAGGCUCUUGAAGGUCACCUUGUUCACCCUCUUAGUGCCCCG